rnacentral:rRNA from 1 species
AUUGACCGCUGGCGGCAGGCUUAACACAUGCAAGUCGAACGAGCGGCGUACGGGUGAGUAAUGUCUGGGAAACUGCCUGAUGGAGGGGGAUAACUACUGGAAACGGUAGCUAAUACCGCAUCCCAUCAGAUGUGCCCAGAGGGGAUUAGCUAGUAGGUGGGGUAACGGCUCCCCUAGGCGACGAGCCCUAGCUGGUCUGAGAGGAUGACCAGCAAAACUGGAACGGAGACACGGUCCAGACGCCUACGGGAGGCAGCAGUGGGGAAUAUUGCACAAUGGGCGCAAGCCUGAUGCAGCCAGGCCGCGUGGAUGAAGAAGGCCUUAGGGUUGUAAAGCACUUUCAGCGAGGAGGCGUUACUCGCAGAAGAAGCACCGGCUAACUCCGUGCCAGCAGCCGCGGUAAUAC